GCGAGUGAAGCGGGCCCAGCUUAAUCGAAAAUCCCCGCGCCCUCUUUCGGCGUGUUGGGAAUUGUAGUCUUGGCGGGUUAACGGUGCUGGCUUGCGGAUAAUUUGAUGGAAAUCAAAGUCAGAGAGGGUGAAAAUCCCGUGUUCCGCGGCGUCGGCACCACAGUUUGCCCGUUCUCUUCGAGUAGCGUUGCUUGGGAAUGCAGCGUGAAGUGGGAGGUAGAACCCUUCCAAAGCUAAAUAUUGGCGAGAGACCGAUAGCGAACAAGUACCGUGAGGGAAAGAUGAAAAGCACUUUGGGAAGAGAGUUAAACAGUAUGUGAAAUCGUUGGAGGCAAGCGAAUCGCUGGGCUUAUGGCGCGGCUCUGCUGGUGGGCACUCGUGCUUCGGUGUGCGCUCUCUGAGCGUGCCCGUUUGCGCUCCCGGUGCCCGCCUCCAGGGUGAGGUUUUGGCGCCUUGUAGGGCACUGCGAUCCGACCCGUCUUGAAACACGGACCAAGGAGUCUAACAUGUGUGCGAGUGCUCGGGUGAUUGAAACCCCUGCGCGAAGGCAACUCAAAUCGCGAUAGCGGCUUUCUAAGUCGCGCCUCGCGGGUAGUGUACUAUUCCCUAACAAGAG
rnacentral:rRNA from 1 species